rnacentral:rRNA from 1 species
GUGGGGAAUUUUGGACAAUGGGCGCAAGCCUGAUCCAGCAAUGCCGCGUGCAGGAAGAAGGCCUUCGGGUUGUAAACUGCUUUUGUACGGAACGAAAAGGCUCUGGUUAAUACCUGGGGCUCAUGAUGGUACCGUAAGAAUAAGCACCGGCUAACUACGUGCCAGCAGCCGCGGUAAUACGUAGGGUGCAAGCGUUAAUCGGAAUUACUGGGCGUAAAGCGUGCGCAGGGGGGUUUGUAAGACAGAGGUGAAAUCCCCGGGCUCAACCUGGGAAUUGCCUUUGUGACUGCAAGGCUGGAGUGCGGCAGAGGGGGAUGGAAUUCCGCGUGUAGCAGUGAAAUGCGUAGAUAUGCGGAGGAACACCGAUGGCGAAGGCAAUCCCCUGGGCCUGCACUGACGCUCAUGCACGAAAGCGUGGGGAGCAAACAGGAUUAGAAACCCCGGUAGUCC